rnacentral:rRNA from 1 species
UACGUAGGUGACAAGCGUUGUCCGGAUUUACUGGGCGUAAAGAGCGCGCAGGCGGUCGAUCAAGUCGAGUGUGAAAGCCCCCGGCUCAACUGGGGAGGGUCAUUCGAUACUGAUCGACUCGAAGGCAGGAGAGGGUAGUGGAAUUCCCGGUGUAGUGGUGAAAUGCGUAGAGAUGCGGAGGAACACCGAUGGCGAAGGCAGCCCCUGGUUAACACUGACGCUCAGGCACGAAGCGUGGGAGCAAACAGG